rnacentral:rRNA from 1 species
CGAAGGGGGCUAGCGUUGUUCGGAAUUACUGGGCGUAAAGCGCGCGCAGGCGGUCCUUUAAGUCAGGGGUGAAAGCCCAGAGCUCAACUCUGGAACUGCCUUUGAAACUAGAGGACUUGGGUACGGGAGAGGUGAGUGGAAUUCCGAGUGUAGAGGUGAAAUUCGUAGAUAUUCGGAAGAACACCAGUGGCGAAGGCGGCUCACUGGCCCGUUACCGACGCUCAGGCGCGACAGCGUGGGGAGCAAACAGGAUUAGAUACCCUGGUAGUCCACGCCGUAAACGAUGGAUGCUAGCCGUUGGUAAGCAUGCUUAUCAGUGGCGCAGCUAACGCAUUAAGCAUCCCGCCUGGGGAGUACGGCCGCAAGGUUG